CCUACGGGAGGCAGCAGUGGGGAAUCUUUGGCAAUGGGCGCAAGCCUGACCCCGCAACGCCGCGUGAAGGAAGAAGGCUUUCGGGUUGUAAACUUCUUUUGUCAGGGACGAGUAGAAGACGGUACCUUUCGAAUAAGCCACGGCUAACUGCGUCCCAGCAGGCGCGCUAAUACGGAGGUGGCAAGCGUUGUCUGGCGUUACUGGGUGUAAAGGGCGUGUAGUCGGAUUGACAAUUCAGAUGUGAAAUCCGGCGGCUUAACCGAAGAACUGCAUGUGAAACUGUUGAUCUUGAGUACUGGAGAGGCAGACGGAAUUCCUAGUGUAGCGGUGAAAUGCGUAGAUAUUAGGAGGAACACCAGUGGCGAAGGCGGUCUGCUGGACAGCAACUGACGGUGAGGCGCGAAAGCGUGGGGAGCAAACAGGAUUAGAUACCCUGGUAGUC
rnacentral:rRNA from 1 species